rnacentral:rRNA from 1 species
AACGAACGCUGGCGGCGCGCCUAAUACAUGCAAGUCGAGCGAGAAGACGUAGCAAUACGUUUGUAAAGCGGCGAACGGGUGAGGAAUACAUGGGUAACCUACCCUCGAGUGGGGAAUAACUAGCCGAAAGGUUAGCUAAUACCGCAUACGAUUCCCGGACUGCGGUUCGGGAAGGAAAGCGAUACCGUGGGUAUCGCGCUCUUGGAUGGGCUCAUGUCCUAUCAGCUUGUUGGUGAGGUAAUGGCUCACCAAGGCUUCGACGGGUAGCUGGUCUGAGCGGACGAUCAGCCACACUGGCACUGCGACACGGGCCAGACUCCUACGGGAGGCAGCAGUAAGGAAUAUUGCGCAAUGGACGAAAGUCUGACGCAGCGACGCCGCGUGGGGGAUGAAGGUCUUCGGAUUGUAAACCCCUUUCGGCAGGGAAGAUGGAACGGGCAACCGUUCGGACGGUACCUGCAGAAGCAGCCACGGCUAACUUCGUGCCAGCCGCCGCGGUAA